rnacentral:rRNA from 1 species
ACGGGGCCGCCCACCAGUGAGUAUGNGUUAUUNGAUCAACGGAAGACCNUACCCAACUGACAUGUACUUGCAGCGGCAGAAAUGUGUCUUNGUAAGAACAGGUACACAGGUGUGCAUGGCUGUCGUCAGCUCGUGCCGUGAGGUGUUGGGUUAAGUCCCGUAACGAGCGCAACCCUUAUCACUAGUUGCCAGCACUUAGGGUGGGAACUCUAGUGAGACUGCCUGGGUUAACCAGGAGGAAGGUGAGGAUGACGUCAAGUCAGCAUGGCCCUUAUGUCUGGGGCGACACACGUACUACAAUGGCCGGUACAAAAGGAAGCAAUAUCGUGAGGUGGAGCAAAUCCCAAAAGCCGGUCUCAGUUCGGAUUGUAGUCUGCAACUCGACUACAUGAAGUUGGAAUUGCUAGUAAUGGUGCGUCAGCCAUAGCGCCGUGAAUACGUUCCCGGGCCUUGUACACACCGCCCGUCACAUCACGGAAGUUGGUUUCACCCGAAGUCGCUGACUGACCGCAAGGAGAGAGGCGCCGAAGNGAGGCUGAGAUUNGAAAAAANC